UCAACGAGUCGGGUUGUUUGGGAAUGCAGCCCAAAUCGGGCGGUAGACUCCGUCCAAGGCUAAAUACAGGCGAGAGACCGAUAGCGAACAAGUACCGCGAGGGAAAGAUGAAAAGGACUUUGAAAAGAGAGUCAAAGAGUGGCGGCCAAAGCCCGGGGGCCCUAGGUGCCCCCGGUGGCCGUCGUCGGCACGGCCGGUACCCGCGCGCCGAAAGGCGUGUCCCUCGGGGCACUGCGCUGCAACGGCCUGCGGGCUCCCCAU
rnacentral:rRNA from 1 species